ensembl:lncRNA
GUAAGAUGAUCGUGGCGGGGCGCAAAUCUUUUUGUCUGAUACAGUCUGCCGCUGUUAUGGUGAUUGUGUUGUUCAUGAAUAUAUUACUUAACUGUGUGCGAUGUUGGUUAAUCAUAGCAAACACGGCGCAUGUAAACCUCUGGUCGGCUGCAGGGUGCUCAUUUUAAUGUGAUUACAUGUUAGCGCAUGUCGCUCGGCGAGAUGAAGAAAGAGUUUAUCGCGACCAUCUCUUCACUCAGACAGAUGACGCACCUGUGCUCACGUGAGCACGGUUUCUCAUUAACCCCAUGAACUCCUGAUGCCAAAACACCGGGGGGGGGGGGGAAGCAUGCAGCCAUUCUCCAAGUCUGCAGCUCUUUAUCCGUAAUCUGAGGCCCGUCUUUGCGCGCAGGAGGAUUAUGUUUCUGAAGACCUCUUGGAGCUGUCACAGAUUCAGCGGCACUUAAAGGUGAUACCCGUGUUCUGCGGCUGUGCUGCCGUGCUGACGGUAGGUUUAAAAGGGCAUUUCCCACCCAGUACUCUGUGAAGCACAUUUGGGCAUGUCAUGGAGAGAGAGGUGGAACGGCAGGAAUGCAGAGAGGUGUGCAACGGUGCGAUUAUGAAAGCCUGCAGGCUGAUGAGUGUGCAUCAGAGAAGCUAAUGCUAACCGAAACGAGUCUCUCUUUUUCUUUGUCAGAUGUGACGUUUGAAAUGUUGCUGAGUAAUCGCACUUUCAGCUUGGCACACCAAUCAUUUCCAGCACUCGCUUCCUAUAUGAAUUUCUAACUGAUUUCUUCAUUGAACACAACGAUUAGACAGGUUGAUUAAUGCACAGGUAAAGAAACAAAAAAAAAAACAGAGUCUGGCAUAGAAAAAGCCGAAUGUUUGAAUGUGAAGGUUACAGGGAGACUCUAGAGAGAGAGAGACUCAAAUAGUCAUUUUCUGUGACUUCAUAUGGAAGGUUAAAAAGCUGCAGAAAUGAUUUUUUUGUGAGAAAUGAUAUCUCUCAAAAUGAAGAUGGCAGACAUUUUUGUUGUAGGGUCCAACAGCGCCCCCAGGUCUCUCUGGAGCUCUUGUAGAGAGUGAACUUAUGGAUUUUGUGUGUGAAAGAACAAGGCUCUCACUCUCCUGCAUUACUUGCAUAUAUUCAAUAUCAAAGCCACAAUGGCAUUUUAAAGGGACCACUGGCAGGCAGCCAAAACAUAGAGCCUCUCUCUUUUUGGUGGCUGUCGUGGCUUUCUUGCUUUCUGCCUUUAACUCAUGCCCUCGUGCUGAUGGCAGCACAGUGUCUGACUCUUCUCAAAGCUUAACCCAAGUGCUGGAGCGAGACAUUGGAUGUAUUAGGACAACUGCCUCCAUUUUAGGGAGGAGUUUUGCAGAGGAAGAUGGAUACCAUUUCCACAGUACCAGAAUCUGCAGCACGAUUCAGUUCUGACUAGAGGCAUCGCCUGCACUAUUUAGUUAUGAUUUUGUCAUUCAAUGUUCAUUUGUUACCCGGAUGUGGUACAUUUUCCUGAUAUUUGCUUUGAUUGCAUUUGUUGUGUUAGGAGAUUAGAUGGAAGAAUAUGAAUUGUGCUUUGGGUGCAUAGUUUACCAGUCUCGAAUAAAAGCAAAUGUGCUUUUUAUAGCUCUACUUUUGACUUUCCGCAUAGCUGUUACUAUGACUUUUGUUUUUUAAACGCACACAAAAAGAUUUGAAUCUUCUU